rnacentral:rRNA from 1 species
AUGCGAAAAAUCUAUUGCAUAUCAAUUAACACACAUGAACCAAAUUCAGUGAAUACAUGUGAACCUUCUUCGUUUGUCUUAACUACACAUAUCAUUGAUAUAACUUGCUAUUAUAUGGUACAACAAAUAGAGAAUAUACCUUUUAUCCAACUAGAGGCGGGAAGCAUACCUGUGAAGAACAGUGUCGAGGAAGUAGGAAUGAUGCAAAGUUGUAGCACGUUACAUUGGUGGAAGUUUUUUUUCGAAUCACAUAGGUGGAACUUGACAGCAGUAGCAACUAGGGAGCCCAUGACUCGCCUCCACCUGUGGACUUUCUACGAAUGUAAAGAGACCAAUCACAUGCUAAUGCAGAUUAAUAUUUCCUCACACUACUUUCAUGUAUAUACAUGUUAA